GGUUAAGCGACUAAGCGUACACGGUGGAUGCCCUGGCAGUCAGAGGCGAUGAAGGACGUGCUAAUCUGCGAAAAGCGCCGGCGAGGUGAUAUGAACCCUUGACCCGGCGAUGUCCGAAUGGGGAAACCCAGUGUGUUCCGACACACUAUCGUUAACUGAAUACAUAGGUUAACGAGGCGAACCGGGGGAACUGAAACAUCUAAGUACCCCGAGGAAAAGAAAUCAACCGAGAUUCCCCCAGUAGCGGCGAGCGAACGGGGAGCAGCCCGGAGUCUGAAUCAGCUUGUGUGUUAGUGGAACGGUCUGGAAAGUCCGACGGUACAGGGUGAUAGUCCCGUACACGAAAAUGCACAUGCUGUGAACUCGAAGAGUAGGGCGGGACACGUGGUAUCCUGUCUGAAUAUGGGGGGACCAUCCUCCAAGGCUAAAUACUCCUGACUGACCGAUAGUGAACCAGUACCGUGAGGGAAAGGCGAAAAGAACCCCGGCGAGGGGAGUGAAAAAGAACCUGAAACCGUGUACGUACAAGCAGUGGGAGCACCUUCGGGUGUGACUGCGUACCUUUUGUAUAAUGGGUCAGCGACUUAUAUUCUGUAGCAAGGUUAACCGUAUAGGGGAGCCGAAGGGAAACCGAGUCUUAACUGGGCGUUAAGUUGCAGGGUAUAGACCCGAAACCCGGUGAUCUAGCCAUGGGCAGGUUGAAGGUUGGGUAACACUAACUGGAGGACCGAACCGACUAAUGUUGAAAAAUUAGCGGAUGACCUGUGGCUGGGGGUGAAAGGCCAAUCAAACCGGGAGAUAGCUGGUUCUCCCCGAAAGCUAUUUAGGUAGCGCCUCGUGAACUCAUCUUCGGGGGUAGAGCACUGUUUCGGCUAGGGGGCCAUCCCGGCUUACCAACCCGAUGCAAACUACGAAUACCGAAGAAUGUUAUCACGGGAGACACACGGCGGGUGCUAACGUCCGUCGUGAAGAGGGAAACAACCCAGACCGCCAGCUAAGGUCCCAAAGUCAUGGUUAAGUGGGAAACGAUGUGGGAAGGCACAGACAGCCAGGAUGUUGGCUUAGAAGCAGCCAUCAUUUAAAGAAAGCGUAAUAGCUCACUGGUCGAGUCGGCCUGCGCGGAAGAUGUAACGGGGCUAAACCAUGCACCGAAGCUGCGGCAGCGACGCUUAUGUGUUGUUGGGUAGGGGAGCGUUCUGUAAGCCGUUGAAGGUGUGCUGUGAGGCAUGCUGGAGGUAUCAGAAGUGCGAAUGCUGACAUAAGUAACGAUAAAGCGGGUGAAAAGCCCGCUCGCCGGAAGACCAAGGGUUCCUGUCCAACGUUAAUCGGGGCAGGGUGAGUCGACCCCUAAGGCGAGGCCGAAAGGCGUAGUCGAUGGGAAACAGGUUAAUAUUCCUGUACUUGGUGUUACUGCGAAGGGGGGACGGAGAAGGCUAUGUCAGCCGGGCGACGGUUGUCCCGGUUUAAGCAUGUAGGCGGAGGUUCCAGGUAAAUCCGGUACCUUAUUAACGCUGAGGUGUGAUGACGAGGCACUACGGUGCUGAAGUGAUAAAUGCCCUGCUUCCAGGAAAAGCCUCUAAGCAUCAGGUAACACGAAAUCGUACCCCAAACCGACACAGGUGGUCAGGUAGAGAAUACCAAGGCGCUUGAGAGAACUCGGGUGAAGGAACUAGGCAAAAUGGUGCCGUAACUUCGGGAGAAGGCACGCUGAUAUGUAGGUGAAGCCCCUGCGGGCGGAGCUGAAAUCAGUCGAAGAUACCAGCUGGCUGCAACUGUUUAUUAAAAACACAGCACUGUGCAAACACGAAAGUGGACGUAUACGGUGUGACGCCUGCCCGGUGCCGGAAGGUUAAUUGAUGGGGUUAGCGGCAACGCGAAGCUCUUGAUCGAAGCCCCGGUAAACGGCGGCCGUAACUAUAACGGUCCUAAGGUAGCGAAAUUCCUUGUCGGGUAAGUUCCGACCUGCACGAAUGGCGUAAUGAUGGCCAGGCUGUCUCCACCCGAGACUCAGUGAAAUUGAACUCGCUGUGAAGAUGCAGUGUACCCGCGGCAAGACGGAAAGACCCCGUGAACCUUUACUAUAGCUUGACACUGAACACUGGUCCUUGAUGUGUAGGAUAGGUGGGAGGCUUUGAAGCGUGGACGCCAGUCUGCGUGGAGCCGUCCUUGAAAUACCACCCUUUAAUGGCUGGUGUUCUAACGUAGACCCGUGAUCCGGGUUGCGGACAGUGUCUGGUGGGUAGUUUGACUGGGGCGGUCUCCUCCCAAAGAGUAACGGAGGAGCACGAAGGUUGGCUAAUCCUGGUCGGACAUCAGGAGGUUAGUGCAAUGGCAUAAGCCAGCUUGACUGCGAGCGUGACGGCGCGAGCAGGUGCGAAAGCAGGUCAUAGUGAUCCGGUGGUUCUGAAUGGAAGGGCCAUCGCUCAACGGAUAAAAGGUACUCCGGGGAUAACAGGCUGAUACCGCCCAAGAGUUCAUAUCGACGGCGGUGUUUGGCACCUCGAUGUCGGCUCAUCACAUCCUGGGGCUGAAGUAGGUCCCAAGGGUAUGGCUGUUCGCCAUUUAAAGUGGUACGCGAGCUGGGUUUAGAACGUCGUGAGACAGUUCGGUCCCUAUCUGCCGUGGGCGCUGGAGAAUUGAGGGGGGCUGCUCCUAGUACGAGAGGACCGGAGUGGACGCAUCACUGGUGUUCGGGUUGUCAUGCCAAUGGCACUGCCCGGUAGCUAAAUGCGGAAGAGAUAAGUGCUGAAAGCAUCUAAGCACGAAACUUGCCCCGAGAUGAGUUCUCCCUGAGACCUUGAGUCUCCUGAAGGAACGUUGAAGACGACGACGUUGAUAGGUCGGGUGUGUAAGCGCAGCGAUGCG
rnacentral:rRNA from 1 species